UAUAACUGGGCAAACAAUUAGCAAAGAAUAUCAACAAAUGUGCACACACGCGGCUCUGAGAUCUGAUCUGAAAAUCGCAUUCACUCGCGGGUGAUUGAAAGGCCGCUUGCGGGCUACCAGCGCCAAUAGAAUUAUACUUCGUUGCGCUCUGGCUUUGCCUACAACAAAAGUACAGACUCAAUCUGGCAAAGUUAGCGUUGUCUGGUUUUGUUGCAUUGAAAAUGGGCUGAUAUAUUGAACCGAUCACAGGAAAAAAACGUUGAGUCUAUAUAGUGCAAACUAAUGGGUCGAACUCAGUGAAGUUCAAUAUCUUGCGUCUCUGCGCUGCAGGUCUGGAGGAGGUACGCGGCCGCGCACAGCUUUGAGGGAACAUUGAAGCUCCCAAACAUGGAGAAGAACUUACCGGUGAAGAGUUCUUUGAGAGAGUCAACAAGGUGACCCUGAAGAUGGAUGUGACCCACACAGAGAACUCCCAUGUGAUCAGGAAAGGGGGCAGGAACAUCAUGCCACAUCCACUUCCCUGACAGACACAAUGCUACCGGAGAGAAGAGCAACCUGCAACUGUUCCUUAGCAACUGUCUCUCAGCAACUAGGUGUCCAUCACUGGGCCUGUCCAAGGGAUGGAGGCAACCAGGAAGAGGAUAUGAGAUCCCCGGCCUCUGGUGUAAACCUAUGACCUCCUGGUGACAUUGGUACCCCAGGCACUGCUGAACGUAGUGUCACCGGUCAUCCAGCAGGUGAAGCAGGUUCUGGGGAUCAGCGUGAGCUUCAGGGCUCAGCCCAGACAGCAGCUGUGGUCAGAGGACUGCAGGGCAGCACUCACAGAUACAUUGCAUUCGAAGGUGGUGUGUGUUCUGAUGGAGCUGAUUCUAGGGUCAGAGAUCGGGGCUGGGGUCAUGACGGAGUCAUGAGGGGGGUCACCACCCAGCAGGACGUGACCUCCCUUCAUCAUCUCUUUCUGCUGGGACAACUUCCUUGGGGGCUCAGUGCCCACCCCUGAGUCUUUGAUUGGCGCUCUUUCCCAAACUAAGCCCCGCCCAUCACCCCCACCAGGCCUGUCUCUGCCCUCUGAGGGAAUGAGGAUGGGACUGAAGGCAGCUGGAGAAGGUGUGGAGAGAUCACCAUCAGAUAACAGAAUCCAUAUCUGUAGGCCUCUUGACUACCAAGAUAAGUGCAGUACUGUGAGAGUUUGACAGUGGGAGAUAUGAUGGAUUGCACAGGAGGUUGGUGGCACCUUAAUUGGGGAGGAUGGGUUUGUGGUGAUGACUGGAGCAGAAUAGGGGGAAUGGUAUCAAAUACAUCAAACAUGUUGUCCAUGUGUUUGAUGCCAUUCCAUUCGCUCUGUUCCAACCAUUAUUAUGAGCCAUCCUCCCCUCAGCAGCCUCCAUUGAUGGAUUUAUACAGCUGUAAGGUGUUUCAUUGCAGAGGAUUUGAUUCUGCAGUUGUCCUGAUGGUGGUGCUAUUGGAUCAGUACAGUAUCAAGAUUGAUCAAUGAGAUCACCUCGGUUUACCCAGAUCCCAGAGAACGAGGAUCUGUCCGGCCUGUCAGGCGAGAGCCCUGGUCCGAUGACAGAGCUGAGUGAUGUCACUGAGCCAGGUCAGGAUGAUGAGUCAGAGGAGCAGCUUCCAGGGUCCUGAAGGGGAGACGCCACUCAACAGGCCAGGUCAUGAGGUAAUCACAUUCACACUAGGGAGGGUAAGAGGAAGUUGACCUUAGGCACACUGGUUGAGGUUGGGAUUUUGGUUGGAUAGCCCCAAAGAUUCUAUAUGGAUUUUAAUUUUUUGUAAUUUUGAUUGAACUUUUAUUUAACGAGGCAAGUCAGUUAGGAACAAAUGAUUGUUUACAAUGAUGGCCUACACCAGCCGAACCUGAACCUGUGCACAUCGCCCAAUGGGACUCCCAAUCAUGGCCAGUUCUGAUACAGUCUGGAUUUGAUCUUAGAUAAGGGCAAACCAAUCAACCCUUGAGCAAAGUUAGCCCCUGCUCUUUCAGAGGGGGAAACAUGUUAAAAUAAAUGUGCCUUUAGCCUUUUGUCCCACCUUGUACGUUCCAGUCCCUCUGGAAAAUAACAGGAGCAUUUGGAGAUGCAGUGUUGUUUGCUGCUGUUUAAUACUCUCAUGAUAAAUAGUAAUGUCAGAAAGGGAUUGCAUAUAUUCAUUCCCUCCAGUAUCAGGUCUCCACAGCCCUUGGAUUAUUUGGGUGAGCUACUUAGCUAAGUGAGUCCUACAAACAACCUUCACGCUAUGUGGCUCAGACCUGACCUUAGUUUCACUUCUGCUGUACUGUUGCAGACUGCUGGAUGGAACGAUGGAGGGAGGAAGGAGUGAGAAACGGAACAGCCUGAGAGAGAUGGAGGGAGGGAAGAGUGAUACUAGAUGGAACAGCCUGAGAAUGAUGGAAGGAGGGAGGAGUGAAAGACGGAAGAGCCUGAGACAGAUGGAGGGAGGAUGAUGUGAGAGAUGUAACAGCUUGAGAGCGAUGGAGGGAGGAGUGAUACUAGACAGAACAGCCUGAGAGAGGUUGAAGGAGGGAGGCAUGAGAGAUGGAACAGCCUGAGGAGGGACAUGACUCAGACUCAGGAUACUCUCUUUGAUACCCCCCCCCAGCCAGAAAUGAAACAACCCCAGAGCAAUAUAGAGGAACAUGUUAUAUGUGACUCUGUAGACUGUGUCACCAAGUAAUUUGACCCCUUUGCUUUCUUUGAGCCUCAUGCAAUCAAAUUUGAAGUAUUUGAGUUGUGUGUGUUUGCACUACAGUAGAUGUUGAUUUUGCCAUUAUUUGUCCACUUGGUGCCCCAAAAGUUAAAAGGGGGUUUGCGUUUAUCUCCACGGAAAAAACAGGAAGUACCAGGUUGAGUCAUCUUCUGUUCUCUCAGUAAAUCAGGUUCCCUUCCAGAACACAUCAGUCACAGAACAACUGCAUUUCCUCCCUUAUUUACCAGCUUCACCCCCUUUGCCUUGUAUCGCAGGAUUACGACUAUGAGAUGAAGAAACUGCUGGCAACCAAAGGUAAGACCUUUUCAAUGUUUGAUGCUUCUGCCUUGUUGUGUGAACAGUAGCCCAGCAGGUCUCAUUAACAACAUCCCCUUGGUUUAUCCAGGAUUCUGUAACACACAAAGGUCCUAUUUUCAGACUUGUAGUAGAGUCCCACUAAAAGGGACCCAUUUUAGUGCUGCGCCAGUACACCAUUGCAAAUCAGAGGACCCAUUUAGCAGCUGCACCUGGCCAAAUUAGUGGCAUGUCAUUGGGAUAUGUCACUUGCCACUCUCUGCUAUUGAGAGACAAGGCAGCUCUGGUUUGUUAUUCAAAUCAGUGAUGGAGGGAACCCAUUUAUGUGGGACUAUGAACCAGAGCGUUGAAAGAGGAGACCCAUUUAUGUGCUGCACAUUGCCAGAGAGGUGAUGGAGGGGACACACUUAUGGGUUGCACCGUGCCAAAGUUAUAAUUAAGGAGCAUUACUACUCCCACUGAUUUUACACACUGGCGCCAGAGAGACACACACACACACACACACACACACACACACACACACACACACACACACACACACACACACACACACACACACACACACACACACACACACACACACACACACACACACACACACACACACACACACACACACACACAAAGAUUCUUUCUCAAUUAUAUAUUUAGUUACAGUUUUUUUUUUACACAUCAGACACUCAUAUACAGUAUGAUUCUUCGCAAAGCAUUCUGUAUCAAACACUGUUCUCUAUCCAUCUAUCUGCAUUGUUCACCUGACAACAACAUCCUACCAAUUGAACCACUGCCUGUCUGUUUGUGAGUGAUUUAUAGUAACUUUGUCUGCAUGUUUUUGGGGGGAAUGUGUGUGUUUGUUUCUGUAUGGAUAGCUGAAGUGUGCAUUUACACAUGUAAUCUAAUUCUGAUCUUUUGACAAUUAUUUGUCUUGUGACCAGUCAGACCAGAAUUUCCCCAAUUGGGCUGUGUAAACGCAGCAAAAGAUCGGAAUUGUGUUGCCUAUGUAAACGCAGCCUGUGUGUGUGUGUGUGUGUGUGUGUGUGUGUGUGUGUGUGUGUGUGUGUGUGUGUGUGUGUGUGUGUGUGUGUGUGUGUGUGUGUGUGUGUGUGUGUGUGUGUGUGUGUGUGUGUGUGUGUGUGUGUGUGUGUGUGUGAUAUAUCUGUACUCUCUCAGCCAUGCAGAAGAAGUCGGUGGUCAGCUAAGUCCAUUCCUGCUGAGGAAGUCAAGGAGCUACACAACAUCAGCCGACACAGCUACUAACCCUACCUGGCAAACACUGGACAACUACAACAGGUUCUACAACAGGCUGGACCUGUCCUCUCAGUCUCUCCCAGACAGGUUUUAUUACCAACCAUUGAGCAGCUGCCCUCUCUGAAUGCUCUGUGGCCAGUCAGUGAACACCAUGCUCAUUUGGGUUAAUAGAUACAGUAUGAUCAUUUCUGGGUUGUUUUGUGUGAGGGAAUUUAGGAGUCAGUGUGAGCGUUUCGCCUAAGCGCCUGAUUAUUUGUAGCGAGCUAGGAGAGGCGUUGAGCUGGGUGAGAGCUUGUUUAUUAAUAUGAUUAUUCUCAGUGCUGCUUGGCUCGGUUGGUAUUCCUGCCCUGAGAAAAACAGAGUGGAGGAGAGAAACUGUGAGCACCAAUUACCACCCUGUCUCAUCCACUCAUCCUCAUGGAAGGAGACAAGGAAGGAGACAGGGAAGGAGAGAGGGAAGGAGAGAGUGAGAGAGAAAGGGGAGUGAACGAAAAGUGAAACAAAGCGAGGGAAGUAUGGGCUCAAUUGAAAAACAUUGAGAAGAUAAAUAUAUGCAAACCCCAUCCCUCUGCCUCUCUCUCCUCGCUCCUCUCUCUCUCCUCUCUCUCUCCUCUCUCGCCUCUCUCCUCUCUCUCCUCGCUCCUCUCUCUCCUCGCUCCUCUCUCCUUUCUCUUUCCUCGCUCCUCUCUCCUCUCUCUCCCGCUCCUCUCUCUCUCCUCUCUCUCCUCACUCCUCUCUCUCCUCGCUCCUCUCUCCUCUCUCUCCCCGCUCCUCUCUCUCUCCUCUCUCUCCUCACUCCUCUCUCUCCUCGCUCCUCUCUUUCUCCUCUCUCUCCUCGCUCCUCUCUCUCUCCUCUCUCGCCUCUCUCCUCUCUCUCCUUGCUCCUCUCUCUCCUCACUCCUCUCUCCUUUCUCUUUCCUAACUCCUCUCUCUCUCCUCUCUCUCCUCACUCCU